AAAUUAAAGGUUAGAUUAGGAAAAUUUUGACUAAACCUCGCAACUAGCUUAGACUAGGUUGAAAGGGUGCCUUAGGUUUGAGUUAAUCGAACCUUUGCCUUCCCUUUCUUCAACCGUGACUCCCGAAUCCAUUUUCUCUUGUUUUCAAAGACCUGGAGUUGUCAAAAAGGGUUUCAUUUUGUUUUACUUUAUUUUUUGGGUGACUUGGUACACCAAAACUCCAUACCAAGUGGCGACUCCUAUUUUUUCUUAAAAACCCUUUUAGACUAAAUUUUGGACCCAAAUUGUCGCAUUCUUUUAAGUCCCAUUCUAGG
rnacentral:lncRNA from 1 species